rnacentral:rRNA from 1 species
AUUGCAGGCUGCAACCCGCCUGCAUGAAGUCGGAAUCGCUAGUAAUCGCGGAUCAGCAUGCCGCGAUGAAUACGUUCCCGGGCCUUGUACACACCGCCCGUCACACCAUGAGAGUCGGGAACACCCGAAGUCCGUAGCCUAACCGCAAGGAGGGCGCGGCCGAAGGUGGGUUCGAUAAUUGGGGUGAAGUCGUAACAAGGUAGC